GUGCAGCAGUCGCGAAAACUUUACAAUGCGGGAAACCGCGAUAAGGGGACACCGAGUGCCAGCAUAUUAUGUUGGCUGUCCACAUGUGUAAACGGCAUGUGUUAGCAAGGGCCGGGCAAGACCGGUGCCAGCCGCCGCGGUAACACCGGCGGCCCGAGUGGUAAUCACUUUUAUUGGGUCUAAAGGGUCCGUAGCCGGUUUGUUCAGUUCUUCGGGAAAUCUGACAGCUCAACUGUUGGGCUUCCGGGGAAUACUGUCAGACUUGGGACCGGGAGAGGUAAGAGGUACUACAGGGGUAGGAGUGAAAUCUUGUAAUCCCUGUGGGGACCACCAGUGGCGAAGGCGUCUUACCAGAACGGGUCCGACGGUGAGGGACGAAAGCUGGGGGCACGAACCGGAUUAGAUACCCCGGUAGU
rnacentral:rRNA from 1 species